rnacentral:rRNA from 1 species
AACGUAGGUCCCGAGCGUUAUCCGGAUUUACUGGGCGUAAAGCGUGUUCAGGCGGUCUAGCAAGUCGGGCAUGAAAUCUCUCGGCUCAACCGGGAGGGGUUGUCCGAUACUGCUGGGCUUGAGGGCAGCAGAGGGUGGUGGAAUUCCGGGUGUAGUGGUGAAAUGCGCAGAUAUCAGGAAGAACACCCGUGGCUAAGGCGGCUCUCUAGUACGGUACUGACGCUGAGACGCGAAAGCGUGGGGAGCGAACAGG